rfam:Ictidomys tridecemlineatus contig017392, whole genome shotgun sequence.
GUGGCUGUGGCUCAGUGGUAGAGCGCUUGCCUAGCAUGUGCAAGGCGCUGGGUUUGAUCCUCAGCACCACA